AAUCUGUUAAAAAAUUCAGUCCUGUCCCUUCAGCUGCAGUGUGAGCAAUAACACACUUCGCUGGGUACUUUCAGCAAGUCCCUCAUUAAAACAGUAGUACUAGAUGAGAUCUAAUUUUCCUAAUCUUUGUAGGUUACAAUGCAAGGUGGAAAAUAUUUGAGAUUUUAUGUGUUCCUGAAGAACAGGAUAAAAAAAACCAAAAAACCAACAAAACAGUGAAAGUUGCUCCUCAGAGAGGACAAGGCUGGUUCAAGACCACGGCACCUGCUCCUGCAUGGAGCGAAGUUUCCUCCUUGCUCCAUGUUGUCCCAGUGGAGAACAGCUUCCCACCAGCUCACCUGCUCAAAGGCAAUCCCACACCACAGGGGUUUGCUGGAUAAACAGUGAGUCACCCCUGAGAUAUCA
rnacentral:lncRNA from 12 species